AAUGGGCAAUUAUAUUAUCGUAAAGAGACAGUCGAGUAAAUAUUUUACGUUCAAGGAGUAUUUGAGUUGAUUGUUUUGUCCUGAAAACGUAUAACAUUAAAAUAAUAAAGUAAACAGAUAUGACUGUAAUCUUUGCGGGAAAGUAUACAUGGGUAAAACGAAAGAACGUAUUAAGAAACAAAAUUGGGUUCAUUGAUGAAAAAUUAAAUGCGAUAUCGUUGACAACGAUUAUCAAUACUUGAAUUAAUUUGAUCAUUCAUCCCUUUAGCUGCGUGUUCUCGUCAUUUAAACACAAUUUAUAUUCGGAUAAUAGCAGAGUAUAAUGGACUAAUCGACAAAAUGACCACUCCAGUAAUAUAUACGGUCACAAUCGGCCAAUCUUUAAGACAACCACUGAGAUUAUAUUUUUGAAAAAU
rnacentral:lncRNA from 1 species